GUUCUCCUUUGCUACUCUUUCUUCUUGGGACACUCACAAUGACAUUGCAGAAAUGAAGGACCCAAUCAUUUUUUAAGCGGGUAAGCUUAAUCUUUUACUUUUCUGCCUUCUUGUCCAAUUCGAUAUGCUGGUAUAUGGUAUAUGGCUUUUGUUUAAACUAUAUGGUGCUGAAACUCUUUAUUA